rnacentral:lncRNA from 1 species
CUCUGCCCUUAUACCUUCUGCGACCUGCUGGCGGGCGCAUGUUAGGCUAAGGGUAACCUUACAAUCCACUUCCAUCUCCGCUUUUCCUGGCACUCCCUCCUGCCUACAACAGCCUGAGAUGCCGGAACUCAACUUGCGGCUUUCCAACUAAGAAUCUCUUAAACUCACUGAUCUGCCUAUUCGCUACAAUCCGGAUUCUUGUAAGUUCCAGGGAGCCGAAUCAGAUCCAAACAGGUCAGAUUCACUCCAGGUCUAAGAGGCGCCAGGGAGUUGCAUACAGCCUGGACUACAAUGAAACAACCAGCUUCCCCAGGACGUGGCAGCACCCCAACCUUCUCG